CGGAAAGGAGACACCAGCAAAGACCCAACAGCUGCUCAGCUCCCCAGAACAGGACACUAUUGUGGGACAGCAGAUACAGGACUGCCAGGAAGGAUGCUCCAAGCACAGAAAAAGCAAACCCGGGGAAGGGGAAUUUCACUGCGAGGAGAAACGCCGCGGUGCCCUCACUCGCGAGCUGUGAAGGGCAGAUCUGCCACUGGGUUUCAACAGACUAUUCUUCAGCCAUCUUCCAUUCAUCGUUGGGAAUGAAAGCUAAAUAACUCCUGUUUCAUAACGGAGGGACUAGCCUCUCCAAGAGUUCAGAUAUGGAGUUACAGCCACUUGAGAUGCAGGCCACGCUGGAGAUCGCAUGGAAAAA
rnacentral:lncRNA from 1 species